rnacentral:lncRNA from 1 species
AUGUAAUGAACAGCUAAGCAAAAAAAAUAAAGAAAAGAAAAGAAAAAGCAAAAACUAGCUACUAGAACAGGGAUCUGAAAAUGACAAUCCGUGGGCCAAAUCUAGUUGUGUAUGUAAAUAAAGUUUUAUUGGCACGGCCAUACCCAUUCAUUUAACUGUUAACUGUGACUGCUUACCCAUCUCAACAGCGAGGUCCAACAGCUGCAACAGAGACCAUGUGGCCCACAAAGCAAAAAAAAUUUACUAAUUGGUCCUUCUGUGGAAGAGUUUGCCCACACCUGAACUGUAUCAGACUUGGAGGAAUUUCUCACUGGCUAUUCCUCCACUUUCAGUCUUGGAUUUCCCCCUUUC